ACUUAGUAACUCCUUAAUUCAUCGCUCAAUGCAUCAUUUAGAAACUCUCGUCCUUGUUGAGAAAAACCUGGGACAGUCGAUUUUCGUAAGCUUCUCUUGAGUCGAAUCAUUCGCCAAAUACAGAAACUGGAAGUAAUCACUUGGCUCGAGUUCCGGACUAUAAGGUGGAUGCAUAAGAACCUUCCAGCUAAGCUCCCGGAGCUUCUGGCGAGCCACUAACUCUGUAUGUGGCCUGGAAGCAUUGUUCAUCUCCCAAUGGCCAAAGCUGGCCACUUCUGGGCGACUGUUUCUUUCAUACGGUCCAAUUGUUGACUGUACAGGUCCGAAGUAAGAGUAGUUGAUUCCCUGCCAAUCUCACAAAACACGCAGCAAACCCUUUUUGACAAGCCAAUCCUGGCUUGGCCACCGUUUGUGUCGGUUCACCGCGUUUUAACCACAACGGCUUUCACUUGACGUUGACAUAAGGGAGCCACUUUUCACCACCAGUAACCAUCCACUUCAGAAAUUGAUAAAUUUUUUUCGAUUCAACAGUGAUUCGCAGAUGGAAGUCGUUGACGGCUGCUCCAGCAAUAUUGUAUCGAGAAAUGAAAUAACUGUCAGAGAAAUGUUUUUAAUACAAAAUUUUAUCCUUUAAA